GACGGGGCCCGCACAAGCGGUGGAGCAUGUGGUUAAUUCGAAGCAACGCGAAGAACCUUACCAGGCCUUGACAUGCAGAGAACUUUCCAGAGAUGGAUUGGUGCCUUCGGGAACUCUGACACAGGUGCUGCAUGGAUGUCGUCAGCUCGUGUCGUGAGAUGUUGGGUUAAGUCCCGUAACGAGCGCAACCCUUGUCCUUAGUUACCAGCACGUUAUGGUGGGCACUCUAAGGAGACUGCCGGUGACAAACCGGAGGAAGGUGGGGAUGACGUCAAGUCAUCAUGGCCCUUACGGCCUGGGCUACACACGUGCUACAAUGGUCGGUACAAAGGGUUGCCAAGCCGCGAGGUGGAGCUAAUCCCAUAAAACCGAUCGUAGUCCGGAUCGCAGUCUGCAACUCGACUGCGUGAAGUCGGAAUCGCUAGUAAUCGUGAAUCAGAAUGUCACGGUGAAUACGUUCCCGGGCCUU
rnacentral:rRNA from 1 species